CUCUCUCUGACUCUCGUCUGGGCGCUCUCCAGCACAGCUGAAGCACUCAUGUGUCAAACUUGCACAGAUCAACAGUGUUCAAGUUCAGCCCUACUCCCAUGUACCUCAGAGACGAUGUGUAUAACAGCUUCCAUUCAAGCUGUUUCAUCUGGAACUCCAGCACAGCAAAUCCUCAAGUCGUGUGCAUCGUCCUCCCUGUGUCCAGCA